GACAGAGGGUGCAAACGUUGUUCGGAAUUACUGGGCGUAAAGCGCGUGUAGGCGGCCCUGCAAGUCGGAUGUGAAAUCCCACGGCUCAACCGUGGAAGUGCAUUCGAAACUGCAGGGCUAGAGUCCUGGAGAGGAAGGUGGAAUGCUUGGUGUAGAGGUGAAAUUCGUAGAUAUCGAGAGGAACACCGGUGGCGAAGGCGGCCAACUGGACGAAUACUGACGCUGAGACUCGAAAGCGUGGGGAGCAAACAGG
rnacentral:rRNA from 1 species